rnacentral:lncRNA from 1 species
UAAAGCCACGAAUUCAGUUCUUUCAUAUUUCCUCCAUCAAUUGUUACUGGUCAUUCAAUUGAAACCAAACAUUGAAAGCCAAUACCAAAUUGAAGACACGAAUUUAAUUCGCCCGUCGUUUUGAAACCCCAUAAUUAUUUAACAUGGAAACCCUUACUUGAAUUCUCUGGUCAUUUGCGAUUUCAGUUGCCUAUUAUUAGGUUUUUCAUUAUCGAAUUUUGUUAAACCACUCCUGGUCAUUGAACCACAGCCAUUCUAACUUUGUCAACUUCGUCAAUUAUGAAUCAGGUCUGCACAUGAAUACACAUCUAUACUCACUUAUCUACCUCCGGACACGAAUCAGAUUGUGAAAUUGAAUGUUGAAACGAUCAGUUGGAAAUUGAAUGUCAUUGAAUGAAUUACGUCGUUUCGAUUAUAUUUGGCAUUAAUAAGUUGCUGCAUUCAGGCGUUGAAAUUUAGUCUAAUGGAAGACUAGCAACCAGUACUGGACUCAUAUUCUAACGAUCUCGAGAUUUUCAAUGGCCGAUCAAACU